AACAAGGUUUCCGUAGGUGAACCUGCGGAAGGAUCAUUACAGAGUUCAUGCCCGAAAGGGUAGACCUCCCACCCUUGUGUAUUAUUACUUUGUUGCUUUGGCGAGCUGCCUUCGGGCCUUGUAUGCUCGCCAGAGAAUACCAAAACUCUUUUUAUUAAUGUCGUCUGAGUACUAUAUAAUAGUUAAAACUUUCAACAACGGAUCUCUUGGUUCUGGCAUCGAUGAAGAACGCAGCGAAAUGCGAUAAGUAAUGUGAAUUGCAGAAUUCAGUGAAUCAUCGAAUCUUUGAACGCACAUUGCGCCCCUUGGUAUUCCGGGGGGCAUGCCUGUUCGAGCGUCAUUUCAACCCUCAAGCUUAGCUUGGUAUUGAGUCUAUGUCAGUAAUGGCAGGCUCUAAAAUCAGUGGCGGCGCCGCUGGGUCCUGAACGUAGUAAUAUCUCUCGUUACAGGUUCUCGGUGUGCUUCUGCCAAAACCCAAAUUUUCUAUGGUUGACCUCGGAUCAGGUAGGGAUACCCGCUGAACUUAAGCAUA
rnacentral:rRNA from 1 species